UAAACUGUAUUAUUUUAUAUCAAAUUACUAUGCAAUUUACUAAAUUGUAUUCAUUUUUAAUUAAACUGCCAUUAACCCAAGGGACCUAGCUGUCAAAAUUCUAUUUUCAUUUAUAACAUGGGGGAGAAAGGGGUGAGGAUCGCGAAACGGAAGUCAGACAACCAAAGGGGUUAAUCCCGUGUGGUAGUUUGGCAUUUAGAGAAAGAAGUGGGAAACACGGAAGUGAUUUCUCUGAGAAAGACUGCUGAGAGUUUUUCUGUGCCUGAGAUCAAGCCAAUAGCUAGCCAGUUCUGAGAACUGACAGCAUUUUGCACUACUGAAAACUCAACGGGGUCCCCACACCCCUGCCCAUGGAGCUCCCAGGACCAUUGACCAUCACAGAGACACACAUGACCCUCUGGAUCAGCUGAACCCUGGGAUUUCUGGGGAAAUAAUGGAACUGGCUCCGCAGGGAUGACAGUGGAGGUGCCCAGGGAAGCGUGGGUGAUGCUCUGUGGCCUCUGCAGUGACUAUGACGGUGCCACCAGCAAUGACCUGCAAGCACCUGACAUGCAGGUGCUGGCCGAGGCCUGGCAGGCACCUGACUUCAGCCAGUGAUGUGGAAAAUUGACAUUUCAUCUGGGUGGCCGCGCCUCACCGCUGACGUCAUCCUCAAAUGCCUCAGAUCCGGAAAACCCGGAUUUUUAUAACCCCCAAAACUGUGCUUUCGCCCCCAAAAUAAAACCUUUGAGAAAGGGUG